AUACGUAGGGUGCAAGCGUUAAUCGGAAUUACUGGGCGUAAAGCGUGCGCAGGCGGUUUUGUAAGACAGAGGUGAAAUCCCCGGGCUCAACCUGGGAACUGCCUUUGUGACUGCAAGGCUAGAGUACGGCAGAGGGGGAUGGAAUUUCGCGUGUAGCAGUGAAAUGGGUAGAUAAGCGGAGGAACACCGAUGGCGAAGGCAAUCCCCUGGGCCAGUGCGGACGCUCAUGCACGAAAGCGUGGGGGGCAAACAGGAUUAGAUACCCUGGUAGUCCACGCCCUAAACGAUGUCAACUGGUUGUUGGGUCUUCAUUGACUCAGUAACGAAGCUAACGCGUGAAGUUGAACGCCUGGGGAGUACGGCCGCAAGGUUGAAACUCAAAUGAAUUGACGGGG
rnacentral:rRNA from 1 species